rnacentral:rRNA from 1 species
GAUGAACGCUGGCGGCGUGCCUAAUACAUGCAAGUCGAGCGAACAGACGAGGAGCUUGCUCCUCUGACGUUAGCGGCGGACGGGUGAGUAACACGUGGAUAACCUACCUAUAAGACUGGGAUAACUUCGGGAAACCGGAGCUAAUACCGGAUAAUAUAUUGAACCGCAUGGUUCAAUAGUGAAAGACGGUUUUGCUGUCACUUAUAGAUGGAUCCGCGCCGCAUUAGCUAGUUGGUAAGGUAACGGCUUACCAAGGCAACGAUGCGUAGCCGACCUGAGAGGGUGGUCGGCCACACUGGAACUGAGACACGGACCAGACUCCUACGGGAGGCAGCAGUAGGGAAUCUUCCGCAAAGGGCGAAAGCCUGACGGAGCAACGCCGCGUGAGUGAUGAAGGUCUUCGGAUCGUAAAACUCUGUUAUUAGGGAAGAACAAAUGUGUAAGUAACUAUGCACGUCUUGACGGUACCUAAUCAGAAAGCCACGGCUAACUACGUG